GUCGAGAAUCUUUCACAAUGGGGGCAACCCUGAUGGAGCGACGCCGCGUGGAGGAUAAGGUCUUCGGAUUGUAAACUCCUGUCAUGCGUGAACAAGGUUGCUUGGUUAAUACCUGGGCAAAUUGAUGGUAACGCAAGAGGAAGAGACGGCUAACUCUGUGCCAGCAGCCGCGGUAAUACAGAGGUCUCAAGCGUUGUUCGGAAUCACUGGGCGUAAAGGGUGCGUAGGUGGCGUGGUAAGUCAGAUGUGAAAGCCCGGGGCUCAACCACGGAACUGCAUCCGAUACUGCCAUGCUAGAGUACUGGAGAGGUGACUAGAAUUCUCGGUGUAGCAGUGAAAUGCGUAGAUAUCGAGAGGAAUACCAAAGGCGUAGGCAGGUCACUGGACAGUUACUGACACUGAGGCACGAAGGCCAGGGGAGCGAACGGGAUUAGAUACCCUAGUAGUCC
rnacentral:rRNA from 1 species